rnacentral:rRNA from 1 species
UACGUAGGAGGCAAGCGUUGUCCGGAAUCACUGGGCGUAAAGCGCGUGUAGGCGGUGCGUGUAGUCUGCUGUGAAAGCGCCGGGCUUAGCCCGGCGUGGUCGGUGGAAACUCGCGCACUGGAGGCCGGUAGAGGGGGGUGGAAUUCCCGGUGUAGUGGUGAAAUGCGUAGAUAUUGGAAAGACCACCAAUGGCGAAGGCACUCUACUGGGCCACUACUGACACUGAGAGACGAAAGCUAGGGGGAGCAAAUGGG